UCAAACACUCAAUUAUAUAUAAAAAAAUAACAAAAGAAUAAUUCCAAUGCAUAUACUUGCAAUGAACUUCAAAAAAAGAUUAAAUCUUGUGUAAUACAAUGAAGCAAAUUAUUUCAAGGUUCAUGCUUGUAACUUUACAAAAUCAAAUAUAGUAUCAGGAAUUACAAAAAUCGUAAUUGUCCAAAGUCUUCAUCGUUAAAUUCCAAUAGAUCAAAUAGUCUUUUGGCACCAUUUUUAAUUGUCCACCAGAACUUUCCUACAAAAUAGAAUUAGUAAUUAUAUAGAAAUCCAUAGUAUGCAAGUGCAAACUCAGAGCAAUGUGGUAGAGUUGUCCCCUUGGGGAUUCACGACAAUACUAUCAUAUAUAAGUAAGAGAUAUACAUAUACACGAUUUAAACAAAUGACAAAAGUAGAGGAAAAUCUAUAUAUGUUGUAGCAUUGAGAUGAAAAUGUAAUCGAAUGAUUCGAGUAACAGAACCUAUGGACAAAAAUCAUGCUUUAUUGGCCUUCCUCAUUUGUUUUCUUAGCAUCCAAGCAUCUAGUUAUAUUCUCUCUAUAGUAUGAUUAUGUUGCUUCUUUUUGUUUAAUUUCUGUAUACUGAUAGAAAAACUAGAUUAGUGGAUUUCUUUUUCAAAAGGAACAUUAACUUUAGCAUAUAUCAUAUACUCAAUCAGCUCACUUUCAAUUAAGCUAGAAAUAACUAAAUACAAACACCUUACCCAAAUCAAGGAUGUUGUUAGCUAGAAUUUGGUAUGUCCAGUAUUCUAUCCGAUUAAUAAUUUUUGAGAUAGAAAUGUAAUCUACCAGACACCAGUGAGUACCUCUUACAGGUGACUAUAAUCACUUAGCUAUCAUUGAUAUCUUAGAAUCUUGCAAUAAAUUAAAAGCAUAGGCAUAAUUUCUUGUUGGGUCAUCACAUAUGUUGCAAUGAAAUUCUACGUUCCGAGGCCUUAAAAACCUCCCUUAGCACCACCUCAAUUUGCGUGCGCAGUUCGGGCGCGUAGCCGGAAAGUUUAAAUGUGAAAAAUGAUAAGUUUUGACUGUAAAAUGAAUAAAUUUGACUUCGGUCAAUAUUUUGGGUAAAUAGACCCGGAACCAUAAUUUGACGGUCCUGGAGGGUCCGUAGGAAAAUAUGGGACUUGGAUGUAUGCCCGGAAUCGGAUUCCGAGGUCCCAAUCCCGAGAAAUGAAUUUUUUAAAGAAAAUUAUUUUCUAAAAUUGUUUUAAAAAAUUUGAAAUGAAAUUUGCUUAGAACAUGAUGGUAUCAGGCCCGUAUUUUGGUUCCGGCUCUCGGUACAAGUCUUAUAUAUGAUUUAAGACAUUUAUGUGGAAUNNNNNNNNNNNNNNNNNNNNNNNNNAUCUCGAGACUUAAUUUGAUGUUCAUGAUGUUAUUUUGAUGAUUUGAUUGCACGAAUAAGUCCGUAGGAUAUUUUUGAGGAUUUUGUGUAUAUUUGGCUUGGAGCCCCGAGAGCUCGGGUAGGUUAUGGGAUGCCUUAGGCCUAAAAACACAGUUGUGGCAGGUUCAGAGAAGUUGCAGGUCUCUGAACCCACUAGUGCGGUCCGCACAAAAAUGUGUGCGACCGCAGAAGGGGGCCAGUGCGGUCCGCGGUCGGCUUUGUGCGGUGCGCGGUAGAGGCCUGUGCGGCUGCAGUCCAUUUCGUGCGGUCCGCACAGGGCACUGGACCGCAGUAUCCUCAGGAAGGCCUGUGCGGCCGCAGUCCAUUUUGUGUAGUCCGCACAGGGGGUCUGCGAGGGGUAUAAAUAGACGAGAUUUUCAGUUAUUUUUCAUUUUUCAAAACCCCAAAAACAUAAGAGGCGCUUUUCAAACAACCUUUCUUCUCCAAAUCAAUUGUAAGUAAUUUUUAACUAGUUUUCCUCAAUCAUUAACAUCUUUUAACAUGAUUUCAACUUCAAAUCAAUGAUUUUCAUGGGGAAAAUUGGGUGUUUUGGGUAGAACCUAAGUUUUUCAAAAAUUGGGGAUUUGGGCCUCGAUUUGAGGUCCGAUUUCAAAACAAAUUAUAUAUUUGAGUUCGUGGGGGAAUGGAUAAUUGGGUUUUGGUUCAAACCUCGAGUUUUGACCACGUCGGCCUGGGAGCGAUUUUGACUUUUUGGGUAAAACUUUGAAAAACUCAUUUUCAUGCAUUCAAAUUGAUUCAUUUAGCGUUUAUUGAUGUAAUUAAGUAACUUGUGGUUAGAUACGAGCGAAUUGGCGGUGAAAUCAAGGGGUAAAGCUAUAAUAGAAACUUGAGUUGUGUUCGAGGCAUCGAGGUAAGUAUUUGGUCUAACCUUAGCUUGAGGGAUUAGGAGUUGUGUCCUAUUUGCUAUUUGCUUCUUGUUGAGUACGACGUAUAGGCAUGGUGACGAGUAUCUAUACGUUGGUGUCAAGCAUGACCGUGAGUCUUAUAUUGUGAUUUUCAUGAUUUCGUUGUAUUAUUCAUUCCUUGGUGAAGAUUUCUAAUUGUUGUAUAAAGUUUGUGGAAAGAAUUGUGUCCUAUGAACAUUGAGGAGUGUUGGCUCAAGUUGUAUAGUGAAAUUGUGAAAGUAUAAGUGAUAAUUGAAACUCUAGAGCAUUGGCUCGAGUUGUGAAGUGAAUUGUGAAGUAAGAGUGAGAAAAAGAAGAGAUCAUUAUGUUGCCCCCUUGCUGGGCUAUUGUUGAAUUGUGGUUCCCUUGCAUUGUGUUCUUAAUUGAUAUUACGGAUGCUUAGGUUGAGGAUUCUUUGUGUUGGAUAGGGAUUAUGGGUAUAGCUAAGGUAGUUAGGUGUCGGAAUGAGGUUGGUUAUAGCUGAGGUAGUUAGGUGUGGUGACGAGUUUGGUUAUAGUUGAGGUGUUUAGAUGUUGUAACGAGUUUGGUUAUAGCUGAGGUAGUUAGGUGUGGUAUCAAGUUUGGUUAUAGCUAUUUCUCCCUUGCCGGGAUGUGAUUGCUUAUAAAGUCGAAUCCCUUGCCGGGACAGUGUAGACUUUAUUGAUCUCUUGUCGGGACUCUCAUUAUAAUUGUAAACAUUAUAUAUGGAUCGGGUUGCACGCCGCAACAAUAUUAUAUAUGGAUCAGGUUGCACGCCGCAACAAUAUUAUAUGUGGAUUGGGUUGCACUCCGCAACAAUAUUAUAUGUGGAUCGGGUUGCACGCCGCAACAAAGAUAUAAUAAAAUGGGAGCAGGUGGUACGCCUGCCACAAGACAAGUGAAAUGGGAGCGGGUGGUACGCCUACCACAAGAUAUAAUAAAAUGGGAGCGGGUGGUACGCCUACCACAAGACAAGUGAAAUGGGAGCGGAUGGCACGCCUGCCACGAGAUAUGAAAAGAAAGUGAAAUCUACCUUUGUUCCCUUUUUCGUGUUAGUGGGUGGUUUUGAUUCCUUAAUAAUUCUCUUGAUAUUCUGUUUUACCUGCUAUUCCCCGAGCAUGUUUUUCCCUCCCAACUUUACUUGUUUAUUUUUGUAUUUCUUUCCCGCUGUAUAUAAUUGAACUGUACAGGUUUAUUUGGUAGUCUGGUCCUAGCCUCGUCACUACUUCGCCGAGGUUAGGCUAGGCACUUACCAGUACAUUGGGUCGGUUGUGAUGAUACUACAUUCUGCACUCUUUUGUGCAGAUACCAGUGUUGUGGACUUCGGACCGCAAUGAGAUUGCUGAUUUUUGAUCAUCAGGAAACCCUAGGUAGUCCUAUAGGCGUCCGCAGGCCUUGGCGUCUCCUUCUAUCUACUUUCCUGUUUCUUACAUCUAUUUCCAAAAACAGUGUUGUAAUCAAUUCUUUCAAACCUUUAUUUGUAGUAUUCUUAGACCGUCUGUGAAACUGUGACACCAGUUCUGGGUAGUCGAGACUCAAACAGUUGUAAAAGGAUAUUCAUGUUUAGAAGGCUUAUUGUUUUCUUCCGCUUAUGUUAUAUUCCGCUCUUUAAAUAUUAUUUCUUCGUAAUUGCUAAAGAGAAUAAAAUUGGUAAAAAAGGUAGAUGGUUCAAUAAUUGACUUGCCUAGCUCACACUAAUAGGCAUCAUCACAGUUCUCAAGGGUGGGAAAUCCGAGUCGUGACAUUUCUAUUCCAUUAACCCUCCAAUCUGUAUAGAGAGAUACUAAAAAACUUUCAUCAGACAAUUUCUAACUCAAUUUUACCCUCAAGCAAUAUUGGUCUCAACAUUUUAAAUACCUAUCAUAACAAAGAUAAUCAUAUAGAUCUCUAUUCACUUAAAAGUUGAGCUAAACAAAGGGAAGCGAGGGUAUUUAAAAUGUUUUGUGUGAUUGAAAGUGAGUGAAAAAUAUACACUUGUUGGGUAGUGAAUACCUUUAGUAACUUGGCAUCCUCUUUAAAUUCAUAAUUGUUGAGGUUACUAGAAAAAAAACUCAUUUCAAGAUAUCUGAAAUUAAUUCUCAAACAACAAGAUUUGUAUUUGUGUACUUCCCAUUCUAGCAAACAGAAAAUAAGAUAGUAAAUCAAAGAAGACAAAUCCAAAUUUACCUCUUCAGUUGAACCCAAAGGACGAUCUUAAGCUGAGAUAAUACACAAUAGAGACCAAAUCAGCAAUAGAAAUAUGCAAGUUUCAUAUGUUAAGAGAUAAAGAAUGUAGGAGAAAGACGACAAAUUUUGUAUUAUGCUCAACAAAUCGAUAUACUGCAGAACAUUUUUAUUUCCAAAGAUGGCACAUCCAAAGUUUGAUUACCUGGUCGAUGUAUAUUUUCUAUCAACUAAUCCUCAUAUAACAAUUUUAAGGAGAGCAGGAAGUUAAUAGCUAAAAAGUCAGUUUACCCAGCUUUACCUACCAAACAUGCCAGUGCAUAAUGCCUUAACAUACCUCUGAAGUACCUCUAUCCUUUUUCUUUGCCUUCCUCACUUUUGCUCUACGUUGAUCUUAUUUGAGAACAUGAAGAAUCCUCUGUUCACUGCAGUGUCCACAUGUAUAACCUAUACUAAAGCAAGCAAGAACUAAAUUGAUGCAAAAUACAAUAUAGUCACAAGUAGGAUAAUAUCUUUAAAAUUUGAUAUUUCAACCACAAAGUUAAAGUCUUAAUAACAUUACUAAAUAUUGCGCUAGCAUAAAAAAAUAAAUAGUAUGCGUCAAUUGAUAUGCCAAAUUGAUCUACCUAACUCAAAUAUUGCCAUGUUUAUUCAAUAUCAAACUAGAGCCUCAGUCUUAGCUUCAGAAGUUAUACAAUUAAUAAUGAGAGAGAGAGAACAAGAAUUAACUACUAGACAAUAGAAUGUGAGAAUAAGAAUUUGUGCCCAGAUUGUAUAAUCGUAAAAAGUUAUUCUCCUACGAAAAUACAAGUGAAGGUCAUCCCUCCCCCUUAUGGGCUAGAGAACGUCAUAUAACUAAAUAUCAUUUAUAAUAGAGAAAACCAAAUCUCAUUGUAAUUGAAGUAUAUCUUCAUCACUAUCUCAUAUUUUUAUCACUAAUUCAUAAAGCUUCAUGAAAAAAGUACCAUAUCUUCUUGCACAUCUUUUAAUUAUCAAACCAUAUAAAUAAUAAAAUAUUUUAGUUUCAACUACCAAGCCUCAAUGUAUGCCAUUAAGUCAUAAGCAUUUAUACGUUUAUGCUACAAAAACUUUAUGUCAAACUUAAGUAAAAAACUUAUGCGAACAUUUUGAACUCCACAAUUGGGAAGUAAUACUAUAAUGCUUCAAAUGCAAAACAAAAACAUACAAAGCACUGAAGAAAGUAAUUUGAUAACAAAAGAACAUAAUAAUAGUUGUACUAUGAAAUGAAGCAAGAUGUGGCGGACAUGAAAAUUGUGCCGCACGUACAAACUAACAAGUUAUUAAAACAUAUAAGCAUAUAAGAAAAGGCAAACCAAAUAGGUCCAGAAAUUUUCAUCUCAUGAAAAUACCUUCUUAAUGCUUUAGUUCCUUUUCAAACACUUAUUAUUGCUUUCUGUCCAUCCAUAUUUGAUACUUAAUUUAUGCUUCCUACUAAUUCUUUCAAAUUCUUACUAUUUAUCCAACAAAUUUCACUUCAUUAAUUGGCUUCAAAACCAAAAUGAUUUCAAUGGUAAGGAUAGGCCAAACAAACAUUUCAUCAAACAGGUAAUAUGCAAUGGUCAAUCCCAAAAGAAAUUCCGCAAAUAGGCAAAGCUAGUAUAGAAAUGUUUAAGAUCUAAACACAAGUACAUUUAAACUUAAGACUAGUACUAUAAAACAAACCUGAAUGAAAUCUGUAUUUGAACUCUGUUGAAAUUUUUUUUCCUUGUUGAAUUUCACUUAAGCAAAUAUUGACAUAUAUAAGAGCACAUUUCAGAAAGAAAAUGAGGCAUCACUGCAAAUUUUAGGGUGGAGGGAAAUUUGGCACAUGAGGUGAUAGUGUCUAUGGAGAUUACGGUGAAGGUGGGCAAAACAGAAAACCUAAUGAACUGAUGUCAUUAGGAGGGAAAUUGUUUGCACUUUCAAAAUGGGGGGAAAUGUUUCACGGGAAAUUUAAAGGAAGGGGGAAUUUUAUUAAAUUUCUUUAGCGCACACUUGUGAAGUGUUGCUUUUAGAAUUAUGAAUACAGCUCACUCUAAAAGCGUCGCAAUAUAAAUGCAUAAGUGUUGCCAAUUAAUU
rnacentral:lncRNA from 1 species